UUGGAGGGCAAGUCUGGUGCCAGCAGCCGCGGUAAUUCCAGCUCCAAUAGCGUAUAUUAAAGUUGUUGCAGUUAAAAAGCUCGUAGUUGAAUUUCGGGGUCAGUAGGUUGGUCAUGCCACUGGUAUGUACUGGUCUCACUGAUUCCUCCUUCCUGAUGAGCCGUAAUGCCAUUAAUUUGGUGUUGCGAGGAAUCUGGACUGUUACUUUGAAAAAAUUAGAGUGUUUAAAGCAAGCUAACGCUUGAAUACAUUAGCAUGGAAUAAUGAAAUAGGACGUUCGAUCCUAUUUUGUUGGUCUCUAGGAUUGACGUAAUGAUUAAUAGGGAUAGUUGGGGGCAUUAGUAUUCAAUUGUCAGAGGUGAAAUUCUUGGAUUUAUUGAAGACUAACUACUGCGAAAGCAUUUGCCAAGGGUGUUUUCAUUAAUCAAGAACGAAAGUUAGGGGAUCGAAGACGAUCAGAUACCGUCGUAGUCUUAACCAUAAACUAUGCCGACUAGGGAUCGGAUGAUGUUAAUUUUUUGAUGACUCAUUCGGCGCCUUACGGGAAAC
rnacentral:rRNA from 1 species